rnacentral:rRNA from 1 species
UACGUAGGGUGCAAGCGUUAAUCGGAAUUACUGGGCGUAAAGCGUGCGCAGGCGGUUGUGCAAGACAGAUGUGAAAUCCCCGGGCUUAACCUGGGAACUGCAUUUGUGACUGCACGGCUAGAGUGUGUCAGAGGGGGGUAGAAUUCCACGUGUAGCAGUGAAAUGCGUAGAUAUGUGGAGGGAUACCGAUGGCGAAGGCAGCCCCCUGGGAUAACACUGACGCUCAUGCACGAAAGCGUGGGGAGCAAACAGG